rnacentral:lncRNA from 1 species
GCAGCGCCGCCUAGCUUCGGCGGUGUUUUUCAACCAAUUGGCCGGUUCUUUCACUUCGAUUUGGCCAUGGGUGGGUUUAAAAUUGAAUUUCAUGCAAGAGCAAAUAUUUUUACCUCGUUUGGCGAUCGAAAAUUGCUCUAGUAUGGCGGUGGGUGGCGGCAGUUGGCUCCCCGACGGCUGGGCUGUCUUCUCCAGCGAG